rnacentral:tRNA from 1 species
GGGAAUGUAGCUUAGUGGUAGAGUGCCUGCCUAGUGCAGGAAGCCCUGGGUUCAAUUCCUAAGUACCA